rnacentral:lncRNA from 1 species
GUGUUGUGCUGCCUGGCGGUCUAAACAGCUGUGGGAGAAGAUGCCUGUGGUCAGAUGUCACCUGCCCCCUCAAUGCCUCUGAUGCACGGCCUUCAUACCUACUGGGUCAAGAAGAUUGGAAUCAGGGAGGAGAGGAGGAGGGGACGGUAAUUGAAGAUUUGUCCAUAAAGGAACAGUGAGAGAGGCGCUUGCAUGACUGUGACCUUGCAGAAGAAGAGGAAACUAAUUUCGCUCCAGUUUGGUUCUAGCAGCAGAACAAGCACCUGUCAACUAAAUACAAAAUAAAGAAACUUUAUUCUCAGGAGGCUUGGAGAGCAGCAGAUAGGAGCACUGGUUUUAUUAACAUUAAAAAGGAAGGUAGUCUUAUCAUAGCUAGACCAGUCCCACGUGGGUCCUCUUGAGCGCUAUUAAAAAAGCUAAUGGGGAGGGAUGUGUGGAUGGCAUUGGCCCCUUGCGACGACUGCCAAAUGUAUAAAAAGAAAAUGAUGAGCCCUUUAAAAAUCUUGUGCUGCACCUUAAUUAACCAUCCGUGUUUGGUAGUGUAAGGGAGAGGAUGGAAGGAUGCGGGGAGGGAGAGUGGGAGGGGGAGAGAAGGCGAGGGGGGUCUUUCAAGAACAAUGACUUUGAAAUGCAAAGAAGCCGAAGCAGCCUUAUCAAGCAUUUACUUCAUCAUAUCAUAGUGAAGAGGGGAGCAGGAGCAGAAUUCUUGAUUUACCAUCAGUCGUGUUCAGAGAACUGCACAAAGAGGAAGUCUUUUCAUUUGUAUUUUGCACAGGAAACGAAGAUACAAGUGCUGAUCUUUCAUCUCGGGUUGAACUAAGGCAUCAAAGCCGGGUUUGAUACCAGGACUCUCUCGCUCUGUUUGCAGUUUGUCAGUGUGUUCUUGUGUUCCUGCUGUUGCCCCAAAUGAAAGCGAAAGAGCUGCAGAUGAGACAUACUGUACAUGAUGCUGUUGUACAAAUAUGGACGCCAUCAUUCAUCCAGGGAAGGAUACUGAAGAUAUAAAGUUGGGUAAUAAAGCAGUGGUCUGACUAAGCCUCUACUGCCACAUUCAGCAGCCAAUACAACCCAAUCUUGUCAUCCCUCCAGUAGGAUUCUCCCAUGACCUUGACUUACUGACUAAUACUUCUCCAUCCAGUCCAGCGUUAUUGCCCACUAUUCGACUUCCCAAUGGAGCCAUCUCUCAUCACGUUGUUCCUUUCACACACACAACACAUGCAUACAGACUGGCUCUGACAGACAGCAUCAAUAAAGAGAACCACCUGACACCCUCAAAGGAACCAUAUCCCCAGACAAAGCAUGCGAGCACGCGCGCACACACAUACACACACACGCAUCAGAUCCUCAAAGACAGAGUCAGACAGACAGGGGAGGAGAGAUAAAAGACAAAUGAAGAAUUUAAUUGAGCUGUAGCUUCUGGCCAAAGGGAUUAGUAUGACAGACCUCUGGGGGGGAUAUCUCUCUCUUUCUUUCUCUGCAGCCACGUCU